GACGAACGCUGGCGGCGUGCUUAACACAUGCCAGUCGAACGGAAAGGCCCUGCUUUUGUGGGGUGCUCGAGUGGCGAACGGGUGAGUAACACGUAAGUAACCUGCCCUUGACUUUGGGAUAACUUCGGGAAACUGGGGCUAAUACCGGAUAGGAGCUCCUGCUGCAUGGUGGGGGUUGGAAAGUUUCGGCGGUUGGGGAUGGACUCGCGGCUUAUCAGCUUGUUGGUGGGGUAGUGGCUUACCAAGGCUUUGACGGGUAGCCGGCCUGAGAGGGUGACCGGCCACAUUGGGACUGAGAUACGGCCCAGACUCCUACGGGAGGCAGCAGUGGGGAAUAUUGCACAAUGGGCGGAAGCCUGAUGCAGCAACGCCGCGUGCGGGAUGACGGCCUUCGGGUUGUAAACCGCUUUCGCCUGUGACGAAGCGUGAGUGACGGUAAUGGGUAAAGAAGCACCGGCUAACUACGUG
rnacentral:rRNA from 1 species